rnacentral:rRNA from 1 species
AGCGAACGCUGGCGGCAGGCUUAACACAUGCAAGUCGAGCGGGCACUUUCGGGUGUCAGCGGCGGACGGGUGAGUAACGCGUGGGAACGUGCCCUCUGGUUCGGAAUAACUCAGGGAAACUUGAGCUAAUACCGGAUACGCCCUUUUGGGGAAAGGCUUGCUGCCGGAGGAUCGGCCCGCGUCUGAUUAGCUAGUUGGUGAGGUAACGGCUCACCAAGGCGACUAUCAGUAGCUGGUCUGAUAGGAUGAUCAGCCACACUGGGACUGAGACACGGCCCAGACUCCUACGGGAGGCAGCAGUGGGGAAUAUUGGACAAUGGGCGCAAGCCUGAUCCAGCCAUGCCGCGUGAGUGAUGAAGGCCUUAGGGUUGUAAAGCUCUUUUAUCCGGGACGAUAAUGACGGUACCGGAGGAAUAAGCCCCGGCUAACUUCGUG